rnacentral:rRNA from 1 species
GACUCUCGACAACGGAUAUCUUGGCUCUCGCAUCGAUGAAGAACGCAGCGAAAUGCGAUACGUGUUGUGAAUUGUAGAAUCCCGUGAACCAUCCAUUUUUUGAACGCAAGUUGCGCCCGAGGAUGCAAGCCGAGGGCACGCCUGCAUGGGUGUAGUGCGACUCGUCGCUCCUUGCG